CCUACGGGUGGCUGCAGUGGGGGAUAUUGCACAAUGGGGGAAACCCUGAUGCCGCGACGCCGCGUGAGUGAUGAAGUAUUUCGGUUUGUAAAGCUCUAUCAGCAGGGAAGAAAAUUACAGUACCUGACCAAGAAGCCCCGGCUAAUUCCGUUCCAGCAGCCGCGGUAAUACGUAGUGGCCAAGCGUUAUCCGGAUUUACUGGGUGUAAAGGGAGCGUAGACGGUUAUGUAAGUCUGGAGUGAAAGCCCGGGGCCCAACCCCGGGACUGCUUUGGAAACUGUGUAACUGGAGUACAGGAGAGGAAGGCGGAAUUCCAGGUGUAGCGGUGAAAUGCGUAGAUAUCAGGAGGAACAUCGGUGGCGAAGGCGGCCUGCUGGACUGAAACUGACGCUGAGGCUCGAAAGCGUGGGGAGCAAACAGGAUUAGAUACCCUUGUAGUC
rnacentral:rRNA from 1 species